GCGUGGCCCCAUUUGCAAAUCGUACAUCUGUUCUCUUCACGUGACAUUUCAUAAAAGCCCUAACAUCUGGGCAAGAUAAACUUCCUUCAGGUCUCGGUUUCGAGGUUUCCUGGGAAAAGAGUGGGAUAGCCGGCUUUGAGAAAUUAUGAGGUUGGGCCUUUGCCUGACUCUGUUGCUGCUGCUCCUUCUGCUACCGCUGACACUUGGAACCGCCGCCUCUGCGCAGCGGCCAGACGCGGCCCGGAGCGGUCCACGCAGUCGGAGAAGGGCACGGACACUGUCACUCUCCCCACCGUGUGGCACCGGCCCGCCACCCACGCAGGGGAGUCUGGGCCGGCGCCCCCCUCCCGGGCCCGCCGCAGGUGAGACUCCCGCUCCCCACGGAGUUCUGUUUGGGUUUCCGUGGCGCUUGUUCCCCGCAGGUUUGUUUGUUUUUCUUCAAAUUACAGAUGCAGGGAAAACCGCCUGACAUCAUGAGAGCGGGACAAACGCUCACUUUGAAGGAUUCCUGGGCAGGACUUCAAGUGAAAUCAUAUGCCUGAGAAGAACUUGAUACCGGUCUAGAGAAAAUAACCAGUUCUGAGUUUGCCAAACCGUGGAAUGUGCAAAAUGCUCGACUUUUUUGCAAGAGGCCAAGUGUCCCUUAAAAAGCUCUAUUAUGAAUAUGAGCCUGAAGACUGAAGCAGCAGAAAGCUUGUGCCGUUGUUGAGUGUGGGAAAAAAGUACACACAGUAUGUGAGUUUCUGCUAUUUAACCUUAUUUUAUUAAUGAUAUGUACCAGUUUAGGGAGGGUACCUGCAACCGUGCAUGAAUUAUCUAUCAUCUGUGCAUGUGCUUAGCAAGUGUGUGCACGAAGAAGGGAAGUGUGUGUAUACAGAAUGUUCUCAUAGGAAAACAAAAAUUUACUGCUUAUGACUGAAGGCUAUCAAUCCAACGAAAUUAAAAGAUUUAAUAUAUAUAUGUAUACAUACAUACAUAUAUGUAUGUAUAUAUAUAUAUAUAUAUAUAUGCACAGUGAAGGAAACAUUCUUACUCAGUUGUUUAGUAUUCACCCAAGGCAAUUUUAUACAGCAUUUUCUCUCCAGUAAAUGCAUUCCUGGCUAAAGAGUAGAGUCCCCUGUCCAGCCACCACAUUAAAUUCUCACUUCUGGAGCAGAGGUAAUUCAUUCUAAGUGUCCAUUAAAUAAGGAUAGGUAGCAAAAAAAUAAAAUUAAAACAGGAAAUAAUGGUAGAGCAAGAGAAACACAGGUGGCUUUAUUUCUAUUCUAAAAAAGAAUUUGCAUUCUCAUGUGUAAUGGGGGAGGAGAUUGAGAACAUAAAAAGUUUGCAAACUGAAAAUUGUAUUCUAAUAGUUAAGAUUUUCCCCCAGGAAUUAUUCUCAUUCAAAGAAAAGCUAUCUGUUACCUUUCUUUCAUUCAUUUAUUUCCCCUAAAUUCUAGGAGAAAAUAUUACCUUCAGUUUAGCAACAUAAAUAUGGCAUUUGCUUUUCUGCAAAAGGUUUUCUCUUAUCAGAAACGUAAAGAGAAUAAAACACUAAAAAUUUUUUUAAAAAAAUUAAUUAAAAAGCCAAAUGAAAGGCUACCUUUUUUGAAACUUCUGGGUUUUAUAUCAUCAGAGAUAAUAUAGAGAUUACCUUCUCAGCAAUGACGGUCAGCUCCAUCCUGAUGUACAUCAAGAAAUCUGAAAUAUCAAAUAGUUAUACCAAGCUAGUGAACAAGGAGAUUCCUCCAUGAACAGUUUAGAAAAUGGAGGUGGUAGGAUGAUACAUACACACAGAAGAGAGAAUUACCAUCUUGAUGCUCUCUCUCAUCCUUUUAGGGUACCCUCCUUACAUUUCUACCCUUCUCUCUCUCUCUCUCUCUCUCUCUCUCUCUCAUACACACAUUCUACAAAUAUACCCACACCCUAUAAGUACACUCACACAUAAUCACUUUCCCGGCUCAUGUAGUUAUUUGAUAAAGGACUACCAAAAUCCAAAAAUUAAUUCCCCAAGCCUUCACUAAUCUUUCAGUGUGCGUAAAUGCUACAGGCUCCUCAUCGUAAAACAUGGUCUAAGAUAUUGAGAAUAGUAAAUUUACAAUAUUGUUAUGUCAGCAUUCUCUGAUGAUGUGUGGGAAGGAAACGAAAACCUUCAGGCAAUAUAAUAACCUCAAUCUGAGUUGGGCAAACAUGAUCUGUUUGGAUUCGUGUACACUUGUUUGCCAUACCUAUUGUUUCAAUUAGACAGCAAAAUUAUUUUCUAGUUUGAAAAAUUCCCGGGUUACACCUGAAUGCAGUCAACUAGAUGUAAAAGUUAAGUCCUAAGUGAGACAAACUUACUACUUAUAAUGUUGUUAGUUAUAAAAACCAGUAUUUUCCUGGCUCAGAAAUAACCAGAAUUAAAUAAAAUUCAAGCCCCAUUUGUUUAACUGUUACUGUUUCACUUAACUUCGGAUUUUGUAUACCUGUAAGUAACCAGGGAAAAAUUGUGUAAUUUUGAAUAAAAUAUAUUUGCUAAAGAACUGACUGGAAAAUGAAAGCUCUAGCACUUAAAAUUGUAAGUGCUCUAGUAGUUACUGAAAGUUCAGGUGUUUUGUUUAUUGUAUUUCUCUCCAUAGUUAUAUGUUCUUUAUAUAUAAAGAAGGAGCAUGCUUCUCGAAUGGAUAACAUCAACAUGGAAAAAUAUUCUUAACUUUGGCUUUUCUUUUAAGCAAACGUGACAUAAAUAUCAUUUUCAUUCAUGAAAAAAGAGGGAGGCAAAUUACUUUGCAAGUGGAAUUCUCUCUCCUGCUGAAUUUAAACUUCAUUCUUUUCUACGCAUUCCUACUGAUUUGUAAGUGUACAGAUACAGAUCAUUUUAGUAACACUUUGGGCAUCCUUUCAGUGCAAUGAACGCUAUUACUUAAAAGUCCUGACAAACAGUGGAGGGUAGAACAAAAAAAUACAGUAACGAGAGAAAAAUAGUCCUGGCUUCAUAUUGCUUAUUUGCAUUUAACUGUUUUACAGCUGCCUCCUCAAAAUAUAAGCAAGAGAAGUGAGUAACAAAUUUCCUAAGUUUUUGCUUGUUUGGGGGGCCUGAUAAGAGAUGAAGGAGAGAUGCUACAAAGUCCACUGAACACCAAACUGGAAUAAUAAUAAUAAAGCUGUCUUUCUAAAUAACACGCCUGUGCCUGUCAGUAGCUAGUUUAUUUGCGUUUUUCACUGCUUUGUUUAUAUUAGUGCCCCCUCCCUCCUGGGUGCCUCCAGAGUUAAACAAGCAGGUAUUUACCUCCAACUUAAUCCUGAGCUUUAAAAAUAUAGACCAAACUCUGAGGUUCUUAAAAUUUUCAAUCAUAUUUAUUUAUUGCAGAAAAAUAAUAUACAAAGAUAUUUACAAAACAAUCAUAAAAAUAUGAAUGCAUUUAGACACCGGAUCUAUUUGCAUUUUACCAUGGGUCAUCAAUAAAUAAAUAGAAUGUUGUUUUUUGUAUUUUAAGUUUUUUUUUUUCUCUCUCAGAGGAAGACUGUAAAGAGGGUUUAACUGACUGUGAUUUUGCAAGUCAGUUAGAUCCCCGUAUUUUUAUUUCUAAAGACGUUCUUAAAAUUCCUCUGGUUGGUACCAUUUUAAAAUGGAGAAAGUCCAUAAUGAUGCCUUUCCUUUCAGUGGCUGAUUGGCACGACCUCUUGAGAAUGCAUGCAUGAAAAAAUAAAAAUAAAAACAUUCUUCGUCAAAAAAAAAAAAAAAAAAAAAGGAACACAAACAACUGUUCAGACUUCUAUCAGAAUGUAGAGGUGUGAGGAUGGUGCCGCUGCCCGUCUGGGAAUCACUGUCCACGGGCCUGUCUCGCUUUCUCUUUUAAAAGUGCGCCCCACGCCCUGUUUCUUUGAAUUUGGGUUCUGCUCUUCUAAUUUCCAAGAAAAUCUUUGGCAUAUAUAUUUAUUUUUAGUUAUCCAGCUCCAGAGUCUCUAGACUGUCCAUUUUCUCCUUCUCUGGAAACAAUGACAUCUGCAAAAACCCAGAAGGGGGGGGGGGGUUGGAAAGUUGGUUAUUGUUUAGGUCUUCGUGGCUGUUUUCUAAGACUAGCGAGCACUGUUCUUAUCACCACUACUGAGAAAUUACGCUGAACAACCUGGAAGGAUUUCAGCCCAAGGGCAAGAGGAAGUGGGUGGGCGGAAAGAAGGAGGAGGUGGAAUUUGGAAGCAUUUGUUUUAAGGAGAACGAAAACUUAGAGCCAGAAGAAAGGGAGGCGCUGGCAACCAGACUUGCCCUUCCCCACGACCCUCGAGUGUCUCUCAAGUCCUCCCUCCUGUCCGACACGCACACUCACGCACACGCAGCACACCCGGCACGGGGCGCGUCCCCCUCACCCUAGCGGGGACCGACCUGCCUUUCAGGGACGCUCGGGGGAAGAGGUGGCGGUGCCAGACUGGGUGGGAAGGCUGAUGGGGGGGGGGCGGGGGACGACCUGGGCGGGGGGGGGGCGCGGAGGAAGGCCAGGUGGGCCGGGAGCCGCGGCCCGGCCGUCCGUCUGACCGCCCGCCACCUGACCCGCGGAGGCGCCGGUCCUUACCUAGGUCUCCGGCCCUGCCGAGGGGGUGGG
rnacentral:lncRNA from 1 species